UCUCACUCUUUUCCAGGCUCCUUGGGGGUCGCUGCCUUGAUGAUAACAUGGUCUUCCCUUUGAGGAAGCCACGUUUCUAAGAGGGCUCUGGCGUAUGCAUUGGGCCUCUGUGAGGUUUUAAUGAAUGAAGGCUGAAGAAACUCCACAGAGAUGGUGACUUGCCCCCAGCACAGCUCUUGCCCUCAAGGAAGAGACACUCGAGCAAACAGGCAACUGGAAACAGGAUGGCUUCGUGGGCUUAUGUGACUUACACAGGGCCCUGCACUCAGAAGAAUCACGUACUGACUUAGGCUCUGCAGCUGCCAUCUUGAAAUUCUUAAUAACUUUUGAACGGUAUUGGGGGUGGCAUUGGCGGGGACGGUCCACACUUUCAUUUUGCACUGGGCACCACAAAUUAUGUAGCCGGCUCUGAUUAAAAUGCUACAAGAACUAA